CCUCCUUUCUACGGAGUACAUUAGAAGUUUAUAUAACUUCUUCACUUAAUUUAUAGUUAUGGAAUAAUAUUUGUAUCCAGUUUUGAGAGUUCUAUCUCUCAAUUUUGUUCUUUGAAAACUGAAUAUAGACAUUGAAAAAUUAAAAUUAAUAUUUCAAAGUUUAGAUCAACCUAUAGAAUAUUUAUAAAAAGACAAACAAUAGGUCAUACUA
rnacentral:misc_RNA from 1 species